UACGAGGGGGGCGAGCGUUGUUCGGAAUUAUUGGGCGUAAAGGGUGCGUAGGCGGCCUGACAAGUCUGAUGUGAAAUCCCUGGGCUCAACCCAGGGCCUGCAUCGGAAACUGUCGGGCUUGAGUAUGGGAGAGGUGAGUGGAAUUUUCGGUGUAGCGGUGAAAUGCGUAGAUAUCGGAAGGAACACCUGUGGCGAAAGCGGCUCACUGGACCAUUACUGACGCUGAGGCACGAAAGCUAGGGGAGCAAACAGG
rnacentral:rRNA from 1 species